CCUACAAAAAGUUCUUGCUUGGCCUCUUGUCCUGCAAAAUCUCCACCAGCCCUACAUUCCAUCCCCAGAUCCACCCUGCAGUUGGAGCCAGAAGGGCCUCCCAGUGCAGGUCCUCAUCUGUGCACUGCAGGCAGGUGGAACCCUGGUCCUGGAUGGACUAAGGCCUGGAUCAAAGCAACACCAGAUUUCUGGGACUGCAUGAUCUGAGCAAUUCCAGCCAAAGGUCACCCUUCAGUGGUCAGCUGCAACCAGCCUGCCCUGGACCCUGCCCAACUCCCUACCUCCCCCUCCCCUGAGAGCCAGGAAUAAAAAGGACCUGUCUGGCCAUGCUUUAGGCAUGAGUUCAGGAAUAUGCAUGUGCAAGCAAGUGUGAAAAUCUAUAGGUAUGUGUCUGCAAGAAUAUCGAUAUGCAUAUAUGUGUUCGUAUAUAAGUGUAUAUGGUGUACACACGC